rnacentral:rRNA from 1 species
AGCAUCCGUAGCCUGUCUGUUAAAUGCCCUGUGAAAUCGUUCUGCCAAACAGGACGGCGUGCAGGAUAGACUGAUAGACUAGGGACCGGGCGAGGUAAGCGGUAUUCCGGGGGGAGCGGUAAAAUGUGAUAAUCCUCGGAGGACCACCGAUGGCGAAGGCAGCUUACCAGAACGGAUCCGACGGUGAGGGAUGAAAGCUAGGGGAGCGAUCCGGAUUAGAUACCCGAGUAGUCCUAGCCGUAAACACUGUGUGCCAGAUGUUGCAUAAUCCCCGAGAUUGUGCAGUGUCGAAAUGAAGAUGUUAAGCACACCACCUGGGAAGUACGGUUGCAAGGCUGAAACUUAAAGGAAUUGGCGGGGGAGCACCACAACGGGUGCGGCGUGCGGUUUAAUCGAAUUCAACACCGAGAAUCUCACCAGAGGCGACGGCACAAUGACGCUCAGUCCGAAGGGCUUAGCUGUGGAGCCGAGAGGUGGUGCAUGGCCGCCGUCAGCUCGUGCCGUAAGGUGUCCUGUUAAGUCGGGCAACGAGCGGGACCUGUAUCCAUCGUU